rnacentral:lncRNA from 1 species
UGCUCUUGACUGCUGAACUCUUUCUCCGGCCCCUGUAGCUGCUUCUCAGAUUGCAUAAAGAUCAUUGUCACCAAGCAGAGCUGAAUAGAGAGCAACACAAGGCGCAAGCUUUAAGCUGUUCCAGGCUUUGAACCGUGUCUACUCUCCACCUCUCAUCAGUGUUGCCGUUAUCCUGAGCAUGGGUCUUGCCCUUCUACCUCAAGAGCAUCGCCUGCCACCAGCUCGAAGACACGGGACAAUCUGGAGCUUCAAACCCAUGUGACAGUCUACUCUGGUCUGGACCUCUGUCCAUUCUCUCUGCUCUAACACAGAGUUCUAGAAAAUAUGCAAUUCUGUAGAGACAUGGUUACCAGAAAAUGGAGCAGCCUGGCUCAUUUAAAAGUCUUGCAGUGAUAAAAUGCUCGGACGGAAGCAACAUGGAGGAGACAGGGUUUGUUCUAGCACACAGCUCUGGUGUGGAACUGUGUGGAGAAGCCACAGGGGACUUGGAGGCAAGCCGGGAGAGAGGGAGGAGAAAGAGAUCGCCAUGAUGGGGAAGAAGGAAGAGGAGACCUAAAGGCCAGCUGACAUGUGAGAAUCAGGGAAAGUGGCCACACGGGCCACUUCCACAGCUGUGUUUGAGGACCAACGGUACUGUUGCUCUAGCUACAGGAAUAAUCCUGGGCAGCACUUGUUGACCUUGGUCACUGUCAAGGGAAGAUCGGCUGUUCCCACUGAGGGCAUCUUGAUGGAUUAAGGUGAUCAGCUGAUCAAUGUGAGGGGACAGAUGGGAGCUAGGAACUGUCUCGGUACUGAGUCAUUUUUCAUCUAAUGUGCAAGAAACCCAAAGAGCACAUCAAACAGCGAACUACGCCUAAGCUAUCCAUGUUUCUCCUGCUUCUUCUGAGAGGGUGAUUUACACGUAGCUCAACACUCGAGUGUUGCAGUAUCGAGUGACUGCAACCAAACAAUGGAACAUGCAUCGUGCCUGUUGACAGAGCCUGCAGUUGGCUUGGAACCGGGACCAUGCUGCAUUCGACAUCGUUCCUGGUGGCUGACUUGUUCCCAUAGAAUUAAAUGCUAGGCAUCCAGAAGCUGACUGUGCAUCUGAUGGGCUCACUAACAUUCAGGAACAGGUUGGCCUCAGACUUCAUCAAUGGAAAGUGAGCUGAAGUCUUUCUGUUUACAAAUUUGCCAAUUUCCUUUGAGGAAGCUUGAUCACGGAGCUCUUCUGCAUCAGGUGAUUGAUGCCCUGCAGGUACUUCAAGCAACAUCAUGCAUAUCAAACCUGCCCUCUGCCUGGACUGUUUACAGCUGCCUUUUUGCUAGCUGAACUGCCUGACACUUCGGCUCAAAGACUCAUUUAUCACUGAGGGCGCAUGCCGUUAUCUGAGCACCUUCCGAAGCAUCACACGCCAUCUCUAGACUUCCUGGGAUUGUCUACGGAUACAACACUUGCUCUCAUAAGUUGGUUACAUAAACAUAAAAGAAUGAACUUUAAACUAAAAUUUCUGACUUUUAUCUCUUUGCAGUGUAGGCAUAGGACAAAAAAAAGAGCACGUUUGAAAGACUACAUUUUCAUGAAAUUGGAAAUGCUACAUGCAAGCUGCAGAUGCUGAUUGCAGAGUCAGAAGACAUGGCCGUCAGUGUUAGGACUCUGCCUUAUUCUGCUAUUUCUCCUUGACGACCUACAGUUUGCAUUGUGGGUGGCAUUCAUUAACGAGGGCAGUAAAAACAUGGAGAAAACAUUGCAAGCUCUCCUUCGUGUUUCGCUCACUGGCCAAGUAGCUAACCAACUAGGUGUUCAGGCUCCCAUGUGUCUCAAUAUGAUGUGGCUCCUUCCAGUAGCAACCAUCCUGAGCAGAGACCUUUGUUCUAAUUUAAAAAUUAGACAUGAUAUAGAGCUUACCACACAUUUUUCCCCCUGAAGAUUAAAGAUCUUCAUGAAGGUACUGGCUUAAAAGACAUCAACCCCAAGCCUUUCGAAGGAUAUGCACUUGAGAUUGCCAUACUCGAUGGUGCGUCCAAUUAACUUAGAAAUACCCUUGACAUUUCUCAUCCGUGAAGAGAAGCUUUAGGUGACAGUUUUCAUGGUGUGGGUACUCUCGGUGCCUAAUUUGCUUUUUUUUCUUGUUUUCAAGCCUGAAAGGGAAAUAGCCUUGGCUUUCAGCUCUGGAGCGCGAUGCCCUCCUUACGAGUAUUCAGCUACUGUCUGAACCAUUGUACUUGCCUUCCCCUCCAUACCCCUUUUUCCCCAAAGUCCCGUUGAUAGCUCAUU